GAUGAACGCUGACAGAAUGCUUAACACAUGCAAGUCUACUUGAUUUAUGGUUUCGGCUAUAAUGAAGGUGGCGGACGGGUGAGUAACGCGUAAAGAAUCUGCCUUUUAGUCUGGGAUAACAGUUGGAAACGACUGCUAAUACCGGAUAUUAUGGAACUGUCGCAUGACAGUACUAUGAAAGCUAUAUGCGCUAGAAGAGGACUUUGCGUCCCAUUAGCUAGUUGGUGAGGUAACGGCUCACCAAGGCGACGAUGGGUAGCCGGCCUGAGAGGGUGAUCGGCCACAAGGGAACUGAGACACGGUCCUUACUCCUACGGAGGCAGCAGUGGGGAAUAUUUGGGACAAUGGACCAAAAGUCUGAUCCAGCAA
rnacentral:rRNA from 1 species